CCCCGCCUCCUUCUUUUGCCAGCAGGGCAGAGCAGAGCAGAGUCGAGUCGAGCAGCAGCGAUGGUGGGGUCUCCCCCUCUCCCAUGGCCACCGAGUCACGCAUGCUGAUUGCCGCCCUCUCUCUCCAUCUCUGCAGCCGUCACUGUCACCCCUCCAUUCUUUAAUCUACCGUCAUCCCCACCCUCCUCUUCCUUCUUCCUUAGCCUGUCCCCUUUUCCCGUGCUUUUGUCUUCUUCGGUCUGUUUCCGGCAUCUACAAUACGUUUUCAUUAUCAAUUGCUCUACUCCGGAUACUUUCUAGUCGAUAUCCUGAGAGGGAGAGAUCCGGCUGGUCGAGAAGGCGCAUGAAUAGGCGAGACACAUAUAUAACUCGUAUCGUGCUGAUCCGAAAGACAUAUAUUCCUGUGAAAGAUGUUGCUGAAUGAUGAUGGUGUUGAUGUGGCUUUUCAAGGGGCCGGCGCGAAGGCUGGCUUAGAAAUUUGGUGCAUAGAAAAUCUUCGCGUGGUUGCAGUGCCUAAAUCUUCUCACGGGAAGUUCUUUUGUGGAAGCUCAUACAUAAUCUUAAAUACAAUUUUUCUUAGAAGUGGAGUUCCUUAUCAUGAUAUUCAUUAUUGGCUUGGAAAGGAUAUGAAACCGGAUGAUUCCACGAUGGCAUCCGAUAAGGCACUUGAACUAGAUGUAGCUCUAGGCUACCAUGCUGUCCAGUAUAGAGAAGUUCAAGGACAUGAAAGUGAAAAAUUUUUGUCAUACUUCAAGCCUUGUAUCAUACCACUUGAAGGAGUGUUUUCUUCAGAGACUGGAAGGUCUGACAAUGGAAGUUACCAGGUCAGCUUAUUUGUGUGCAAAGGAGAACGUGCUGCCCGCGUCAAGGAAGUGCCGUUCUCACGGUCUUCUUUGAAUCACGAUGAUGUUUUUAUACUGGACACGGAGUCAAAAAUGUACCUCUUUAGUGGAUGCAAUUCCCGCAUACAACAAAGAGCAAAAGCGUUGGAGGUUGUUCAGUAUAUCAAUGAAAAUAAUCACAUUGGGAAGUGUGAUGUGGCAGCAAUUGAGGAUGGGAAAUUUGUUGGUGAUCCUGACGUUGGCGAGUUCUGGAGCCUUUUUGGCGGCUAUGCUCCCAUCUCAAAGAAUUCAGCUAGCCUCAGUAACGUAGAGCUUCAAGGUUCCUCAGCAAAGCUAUAUUGGGUAGCUCGCAAGAAACUGUGCCUCAUUGGAGACAAUCUAUUGAAGAAAGAUUUACUGUGCUCAGAUAAAUGUUAUAUGCUUGAUUGUGAUGGGGAGAUUUUUCUUUGGAUGGGAAAGAAUACUUCGCUGACUGAAAGAAAGGAAUCCAUUUUAACUGUUGAGGAUACAAUCCAUUCUCAAGGGCGGUCCAGGAGUACCAAUGUGACUUUUCUGACAGAGGGUUCUGAGACAGUGAAAUUUACAACUUAUUUUGAUUGCUGGCCUCAAGUUUUUGCCCAAAGUCUGUAUGAGGAAGGAAAAGGAAAAGUUGCAGCAAUGUUUAAACAGCAUGGUUUUGAUGUGAGGGAGCUUCCAACAGAGGAUCCUGAGCCAUAUAUAGACUGCGUUGGCAGCCUAAAAGUCUGGCGAGUUGCGUCUCACACCAUAGUGCCUGUUGAAACAGGCAAGCUGUUCAGUGGGAAUUGUUAUAUUUUGCAGUACACAUACCUUGGAGAUGAAAAAGAAGAGUGCAUUUUUUAUGCCUGGUUUGGCAGUGACAGCACCAUGGAGGAUAGAGUGGAUGCUAUCUCUCUCAUGCAUUCACAGGUUGAUUCAGUUGGUGGUCAGCCAGUUAUGGCUCAGCUUUUUGAAGGCAAGGAAACAGUGCAGUUCUUUUACAUCUUCCAGAGAUUAGUCAUUUACAAGGGUGGGCUAAGUUCUGAAUGUAAGAAGUAUGUUGAACAAAAUGGAAUAGCUGAUGAAAUGUAUCAUGAGGGUUCUAUUGCCCUUUUUAGAGUUCAAGGUACAGGUUCUGCGAACAUGCAAGCCAUCCAAGUUAAUCUGGUCUCAAGUUCACUUAACUCAUCAUUCUGUUAUAUUCUGGAGGCAGAAGCAUUUAUGUUCGUUUGGACUGGCAACCUUUCUUCUCCAAAAGACCAUGAUAUUGCUGACAGAAUGCUGGACCAUCUUAAUCCUAAGAAACAACCUAUACAAGUGAAGGAGGGUAGUGAACCAGACAUCUUUUGGGAUGCAAUUGGGGGGAAGAUGGACUAUCCAAAGGAGAAGGAUACUAAGGAAUUUGUUGAGGAUCCACAUUUAUUUGUCUGUAUUGGUAUAGAAGGUGAUCUUAAGGUCAAAGAAAUAUUUAACUUCAGUCAAGAUGACUUGACCACUGAAGAUGUGUUUAUACUUAAUUGCCAUACUGAACUUUAUGUAUGGAUAGGGCAGCAUGCUAAAUUUAGAUCCAAAGAAUCAGCUUUCUCAAUAGCUAAGAAAUUUAUUGACCUAGAUAUUCUCCUGGAAGGGAUGUCCUUAGAGACUGCAAUACAUGUUGUUAUGGAAGGAUAUGAGCCAAAAUUCUUCACCCGUUUCUUCUCAUGGGAUACUUCAAAGGCAUCUAUGCAUGGGAACUCAUUUGAGAGAAAACUGGCAGUUGUGAAGGGACUUGGCCCUAAGCUGGAAACACCAAAAAAGAUUCCUAGAGCAUAUAGAGCGGGUGAUACUAGUAAAUCGUCACAGCGCUCCAGAAGCAAAUCAACCACUUCUGAGAGGACUGCACCAAGAAGCAAAUCCCCAGCAUUUACUGCAUUAACCUCAAGGUUUGAGGCAUCAAUUGCCCCUCAAUUGUCCACCCCACCUGUUGUCAGGAAUCUCUUUGUUAAAUCUUCUGAAGACAGCUUAAACCUGGGAAAGACUUCCAGCAUUUCACCUGGAAUUGAAAGCUCCGAAUCCUGUGGAAUGAAACAAUCAAAAGAGGGGUUUUUGGAUUCUGUUCCAGCAAAAGAAGAGGCAAGUGUAUCUUCGACCGAAGAAAUCCUGACAAAUGGCAAUGAUGCACUAUCAGUUGGCUUGCAAACAUUUCCUUAUGAAAAGUUAAGAGUUUCCAGCAAUGACCAAAUAAUAGGUGUCGAGAUAACUAAAAGAGAGGCAUAUUUAUCUGCUGAGGAGUUUAUGGGAGUAUUCGGAAUGGCCAAGGAAGCAUUUUACAAUCUACCGAAGUGGAGACGGGACAAACUUAAGAAGCUGCAUGAUCUGUUUUAAGGCUUCCGAGUUUGUUGGACAUGCGAUGAUCACUUACCAGCAUGUAUUUACAAGUUUUUGUGCAUAUUCGUUUGCACACUCAAACAUAUGUUUAUACGUGAAUGCUUUGAUGUUUGCCAAGCUAUGAGCAUGCGUGGGGGUACACCUUUGGAGCACUUGUCCACUUUUGUAUUUGCGUAAGUCAUUUGUAUUUUCAUCGAGAUUGGAUCGAGGUCGAGAACAGGAUGGGAAAUUGAAAAUUGAAGGGGUCGGCGGGAGAACAUAUGCCUUCUGAUGAUUAGCCUCACGGGGUACUCUUUUAUCUGACCAAGGUCGCCAUUAUUGACACCAUCAGGACUCCAACAAGAACACCACCCACCAUGACUACUUCAUAGGUAGGCGGCCCAACCCACGAAAGCCUGUCGCUUGGUUUUGUUCAUGUGAUGCCUAUGUUAGCAUUAACUUUUGGCAAUCACCAGAUCUCCAUUUUCAUUGAAUCCUUCGCCGGCCCAUCUUUUAAUUCGACUUUAGUUGCAAAUUAUGACGGUUUGACAAUUCAAUCCAUGUCUCAGAUAAUUGUGCA